CCUACGGGUGGCAGCAGUAGGGAAUCUUCCACAAUGGGCGAAAGCCUGAUGGAGCAACGCCGCGUGGGUGAAGAAGGUCUUCGGAUCGUAAAACUCUGUUGUUAGAGAAGAAAGUGCGUGAGAGUAACUGUUCACGUUUCGACGGUAUCUAACCAGCAAGCCACGGCUAACUACGUGCCAGCAGCCGCGGUAAUACGUAGGUGGCAAGCGUUAUCCGGAUUUAUUGGGCGUAAAGGGAACGCAGGCGGUCUUUUAAGUCUGAUGUGAAAGCCUUCGGCUUAACCGGAGUAGUGCAUUGGAAACUGGGGGACUUGAGUGCAGAAGGGGAGAGUGGAACUCCAUGUGUAGCGGUGAAAUGCGUAGAUAUAUGGAAGAACACCAGUGGCGAAAGCGGCUCUCUGGUCUGUAACUGACGCUGAGGUUCGAAAGCGUGGGUAGCAAACAGGAUUAGAUACCCGUGUAGUC
rnacentral:rRNA from 1 species